rnacentral:rRNA from 1 species
UACGUAGGGUGCGAGCGUUAAUCGGAAUUACUGGGCGCAAAGCGUGCGCAGGCGGUUCGUUGUGUCGGCGGUGAAAGCCCCGGGCUCAACCUGGGAAUGGCCGUUGAAACUGGCGAACUGGAGUGUGGCAGAGGGGGGUGGAAUUCCGCGUGUAGCAGUGAAAUGCGUAGAGAUGCGGAGGAACACCGAUGGCGAAGGCAGCCCCCUGGGCUAACACUGACGCUCAGGCACGAAAGCGUGGGGAGCAAACAGG